GCAGUCAUAGCUCAGUGGUUAAGGCUCUGGGUUACUGAUCAGAAGGUCAGUGUUCAAGCCCCAGGACUGCU